CGGGUGAGUAACACGUGAGUAACCUGCCCUUAACUCUGGGAUAAGCCUGGGAAACUGGGUCUAAUACCGGAUAGGAGCGUCCACCGCAUGGUGGGUGUUGGAAAGAUUUAUCGGUUUUGGAUGGACUCGCGGCCUAUCAGCUUGUUGGUGAGGUAAUGGCUCACCAAGGCGACGACGGGUAGCCGGCCUGAGAGGGUGACCGGCCACACUGGGACUGAGACACGGCCCAGACUCCUACGGGAGGCAGCAGUGGGGAAUAUUGCACAAUGGGCGCAAGCCUGAUGCAGCGACGCCGCGUGAGGGAUGACGGCCUUCGGGUUGUAAACCUCUUUCAGUAGGGAAGAAGCGAAAGUGACGGUACCUGCAGAAGAAGCACCGGCUAACUACGUGCCAGCAGCCGCGGUAAUACGUAGGGUGCGAGCGUUAUCCGGAAUUAUUGGGCGUAAAGAGCUCGUAGGCGGUUUGUCGCGUCUGUCGUGAAAGUCCGGGGCUUAACCCCGGAUCUGCGGUGGGUACGGGCAGACUAGAGUGCAGUAGGGGAGACUGGAAUUCCUGGUGUAGCGGUGGAAUGCGCAGAUAUCAGGAGGAACACCGAUGGCGAAGGCAGGUCUCUGGGCUGUAACUGACGCUGAGGAGCGAAAGCAUGGGGAGCGAACAGGAUUAGAUACCCUGGUAGUCCAUGCCGUAAACG
rnacentral:rRNA from 1 species